UACGGAGGGGGCUAGCGUUGUUCGGAAUUACUGGGCGUAAAGCGCGCGUAGGCGGCUAUUUAAGUCAGGGGUGAAAGCCCGGAGCUCAACUCCGGAACUGCCUUUGAGACUGGAUAGCUAGAAUCUUGGAGAGGCGAGUGGAAUUCCGAGUGUAGAGGUGAAAUUCGUAGAUAUGCGGAAGAACACCAGUGGCGAAGGCGGCUCGCUGGACAAGUAUUGACGCUGAGGUGCGAAAGCGUGGGGAGCAAACAGG
rnacentral:rRNA from 1 species